rnacentral:rRNA from 1 species
UACGUAGGGUCCGAGCGUUGUCCGGAAUCAUUGGGCGUAAAGAGCGUGUAGGCGGCUUGCUAAGUCUUGCGUGAAAUCUCGGGGCUCAACCCCGAGCGGUCGUGGGAAACUGGCAGGCUAGAGUGCGGGAGAGGAGAAUGGAAUUUCUGGUGUAGCGGUGAGAUGCGCAGAUAUCAGGAAGAACACCCGUGGCGAAGGCGGCUUACUGGUCCGGUUCUGACGCUGAGGCGCGAAAGCGUGGGGAGCAAACAGG